CUCUCUCAUCUCUCUCACAACUCACAUCUCACCAGAUCUCAUCCGCCCCCAACUCCAUGCUUUCUCUCUCCCAGGCGAUUUCCAGAUCUAGGGUUUCAAUAACCCUGAAUCGUUCAUUUUCUCUCAAUCCGACAGAAGAUCCAGUGGGGUUGACCUCUAGAAGAUCCACUGGGUUUUUCUCUAAUCGGCACAAGAUCCAUUGUGGAUGACAUCUAGGUACCAUUAUAAAACCACAUCUAAUGUUUUUUGUUUGUUAUUUGAGUCUGAUUUGGAUCUGGUUAAAAUUCUGUUUGCGAGGCAAUGCUUGAACGGGUCUCUGACAUGAUGGAAAAGGAUUUGAUUCUUGUUAGUGCAACUGGUAUAAACCAUCUUCUCCGAGAUCGGUUGCUGCUUAUGUUAAUCCUCAUCGUCUUCUGUUCAGAUCUUGUUUUAAUACCGAUCUGCGAAAGUUUUGGAUGAUUCUGGAUUUGUUAUUGUGUUAGGAGAUGUCGUGUUCCUCAAGCCUGAACAGGGCUAUGAGGUUUUGAAGAGAGUUGUUGAUGUGAUUGGG